AUGGGCUCGCGGCCUAUCAGCUUGUUGGUGAGGUAAUGGCUCACCAAGGCGUCGACGGGUAGCCGGCCUGAGAGGGUGACCGGCCACACUGGGACUGAGACACGGCCCAGACUCCUACGGGAGGCAGCAGUGGGGAAUAUUGCACAAUGGGCGGAAGCCUGAUGCAGCAACGCCGCGUGAGGGAUGACGGCCUUCGGGUUGUAAACCUCUUUUAGCAGGGAAGAAGCGAGAGUGACGGUACCUGCAGAAAAAGCGCCGGCUAACUACGUGCCAGCAGCCGCGGUAAUACGUAGGGCGCAAGCGUUAUCCGGAAUUAUUGGGCGUAAAGAGCUCGUAGGCGGUUUGUCGCGUCUGCUGUGAAAUCCCGAGGCUCAACCUCGGGCCUGCAGUGGGUACGGGCAGACUAGAGUGCGGUAGGGGAGAUUGGAAUUCCUGGUGUAGCGGUGGAAUGCGCAGAUAUCAGGAGGAACACCGAUGGCGAAGGCAGAUCUCUGGGCCGUAACUGACGCUGAGGAGCGAAAGGGUGGGGAGCAAACAGGCUUAGAUACCCUGGUAGUCCACCCCGUAAACGUUGGGAACUAGUUG
rnacentral:rRNA from 1 species